rnacentral:rRNA from 1 species
UACGUAGGGGGCAAGCGUUGUCCGGAAUCAUUGGGCGUAAAGAGCGUGUAGGCGGCUCGAUAAGUCCGCUGUGAAAGUCCAGGGCUCAACCCUGGAAGGCCGGUGGAAACUGUCGGGCUAGAGUCCGGAAGAGGCGAGUGGAAUUCCCGGUGUAGUGGUGGAAUGCGUAGAUAUCGGGAGGAACACCAGUGGCGAAGGCGGUUGCCUGGAGCUUUGCUGACGCUGAGGCGCGAAAGCGUGGGGAGCGAUCCGG